CCUACGGGAGGCAGCAGUGAGGAAUAUUGGUCAAUGGACGAGAGUCUGAACCAGCCAAGUAGCGUGAAGGAUGACUGCCCUAUGGGUUGUAAACUUCUUUUAUAUGGGAAUAAAACGUUCCACGUGUGGGAUUUUGUAUGUACCAUAUGAAUAAGGAUCGGCUAACUCCGUGCCAGCAGCCGCGGUAAUACGGAGGAUCCAAGCGUUAUCCGGAUUUAUUGGGUUUAAAGGGAGCGUAGGUGGAUUGUUAAGUCAGUUGUGAAAGUUUGCGGCUCAACCGUAAAAUUGCAGUUGAAACUGGCAGUCUUGAGUACAGUAGAGGUGGGCGGAAUUCGUGGUGUAGCGGUGAAAUGCUUAGAUAUCACGAAGAACUCCGAUUGCGAAGGCAGUUCACUGGACUGCAACUGACACUGAGGCUCGAAAGUGUGGGUAUCAAACAGGAUUAGAUACCCCUGUAGUC
rnacentral:rRNA from 1 species